rnacentral:rRNA from 1 species
UACAGAGGUCUCAAGCGUUAAUCGGAAUUACUGGGCUUAAAGGGUCCGCAGGCGGACCAGCAAGUACCUUGUGAAAUCUCAGGUCUCAACCCUGAGUCUGCUAGGUAGACUGCUGGUCUUGAGUGCAAAAGGGGGUCGCUGGAACUCUAGGUGGAGCGGUGAAAUGCGUAGAGAUCCGGAGGAACACCAGUGGCGAAGGCGACACGCUGGGCCGUACCUGACACUGAACCGCGACAGCAUGGGGAGCAAACAGG